UCUCCUGGAAACGGGUGGUAAUGCCGGAUGCUCCAGUUGAUCGCAUGGUCUUCUGGGAAAGCUUUCGCGGUAUGGGAUGGGGUCGCGUCCUAUCAGCUUGACGGCGGGGUAACGGCCCACCGUGGCUUCGACGGGUAGCCGGCCUGAGAGGGCGACCGGCCACAUUGGGACUGAGAUACGGCCCAGACUCCUACGGGAGGCAGCAGUGGGGAAUAUUGCACAAUGGGCGCAAGCCUGAUGCAGCGACGCCGCGUGAGGGAUGGAGGCCUUCGGGUUGUAAACCUCUUUUAUCGGGGAGCAAGCGAGAGUGAGUUUACCCGUUGAAUAAGCACCGGCUAACUACGUGCCAGCAGCCGCGGUAAUACGUAGGGUGCAAGCGUUAUCCGGAAUUAUUGGGCGUAAAGGGCUCGUAGGCGGUUCGUCGCGUCCGGUGUGAAAGUCCAUCGCUUAACGGUGGAUCCGCGCCGGGUACGGGCGGGCUUGAGUGCGGUAGGGGAGACUGGAAUUCCCGGUGUAACGGUGGAAUGUGUAGAUAUCGAAAAAAAACACCAACC
rnacentral:rRNA from 1 species